GCUCGAAGCUUAAGAGCCCCUCAGCUUCUCAGAAGCUUUUUACAUCGCUUACUGAUAUAAAGAAAUAAGAUGGAAGGAAGAGAGGCUUCAAAAUGUGGAGACCAUGUUUCCCAGGUGCUUGCCAGAUGUCAAGUUGCCAGCAAGAGAUCCAAUUGAUGAGAGUGUGACAGUUGAAUAUCUCAAGCCCAGGAUUGAUGGUGCAGAGUACUGAGAGAUUGAUGAUGACUGACAACAACACUGCAAAUGAAAGGUGACUUAUUUUUUGGUACAAUGGUAUUCUAUCAAAUUUUAAAUAUUUGGAUUUGGGUACAGCUGGCUCUGGGUUGUCAUCCUAAAUGCUAGCGGAGUUUUUUUCACCCAGCUGUUGGCCCACCACCCUCUUUAAAGAAGUCACAUAAUUGGGGAGGCAUUAAAAGAGGACUUUGAUAUGUGAAGCUCAGACCUCUACUUGGCUCCAUGGCUUAUAACUGCCCAUAUUGAUAAAUGGUUUUUGGUGUGUGCCUCUCCUUGUGCAUGGAUAAACUGAGUCAAGAUGUGAAUUGAUAUAAGGCAUGUCCCCAUGGAGCUCAUUGAGACAAUGGUUUAUUUGAAGAUUGUAGUUAAAGAGGAAUAGUUUAUGUCUACCGGGAUUGAAGCUUUCAAGACGAUACGAUGAUAUACUGCUUACAGGUUUCUUCUACAACCCAAAGCUGGAUACCAAGGAACACGAUCACCUUAAGAAUGAGACCAGAGAUAAAUAUAAAUCUUG